rnacentral:lncRNA from 7 species
UUGUAGUUCAUGUAUAUACUAGACAGAAAAAAAAUGCUGAACACUAUAUUACAAAUACAAUCUUAUUAUGGUAUUUAGGGGCAGACUAGUUGGUGGCUUCCCACCGACUCCAGUUUUGAUCCUUUCUCCGAUCAAAGCCCCCAAAGAACAACAGGCAAGAAGAAAAGAAAAAUGCCAUGUACUUGCACCCGACACCAACAAAAGAGAACAAGACAUCCAACGGAAAUAAGGAAUCCAAUACCAAUCCCACUAUUGCCAACUACUAUCUAGCUGUGUCUAUCUGUCCCCCGCCCAUACCUCUCCUUCUGUUCUUCACCUCACCUGGCUCUAGCUGGCUGCCUGCCUGCCUGUGCAGUAUGUACAACACUUUAUUAUCAUGUUUUUUCCUUUCUUAUCUUUUUCUCUCUUUAUAUUAGUAGUUUAUUGCUUCGGUUUUUUUUUCUAGAUGACCACUCGUCCUAAGGCAGCAAUGUGAUUAGUAAUUGUAAUACCAACUAAUAAUUACCACAGUAACUGAGAGGAGAAAAAAAAACAAGAA